AGUGAACGCUGGCGGUAGGCCUAACACAUGCAAGUCGAACGGCAGCACAGGAGAGCUUGCUCUCUGGGUGGCGAGUGGCGGACGGGUGAGGAAUACAUCGGAAUCUACCUUUUCGUGGGGGAUAACGUAGGGAAACUUACGCUAAUACCGCAUACGACCUACGGGUGAAAGUGGGGGACCGCAAGGCCUCACGCGAUUAGAUGAGCCGAUGUCCGAUUAGCUAGUUGGCGGGGUAAUGGCCCACCAAGGCGACGAUCGGUAGCUGGUCUGAGGGGAGGAUCAGCCACACUGGAACUGCGACACGGUCCAGACUCCUACGGGAGGCAGCAGUGGGGAAUAUUGGACAAUGGGCGCAAGCCUGAUCCAGCCAUACCGCGUGGGUGAAGAAGGCCUUCGGGUUGUAAAGCCCUUUUGUUGGGAAAGAAAUCCUGGCGAUUAAUACUCGGUGGGGAUGACGGUACCCAAAGAAUGAGCACCGGCUAACUUCGUGCCAGCCGCCGCCGUAACAC
rnacentral:rRNA from 1 species